GACGAACGCUGGCGGCGUGCUUAACACAUGCAAGUCGAACGGAAAGGCCCUGCUUUUGUGGGGUGCUCGAGUGGCGAACGGGUGAGUAACACGUGAGUAACCUGCCCUUGACUUUGGGAUAACUUCAGGAAACUGGGGCUAAUACCGGAUAGGAGCCCCUGCUGCAUGGUGGGGGUUGGAAAGUUUCGGCGGUUGGGGAUGGACUCGCGGCUUAUCAGCCUGUUGGUGGGGUAGUGGCUUACCAAGGCUUUGACGGGUAGCCGGCCUGAGAGGGUGACCGGCCACAUUGGGACUGAGAUACGGCCCAGGCUCCUACGGGAGGCAGCAGUGGGGAAGAUUGCACAAUGGGCGGAAGCCUGAUGCAGCAACGCAGCGUGCGGGAUGACGGCAUUCGUGUUGUAAACCGCUUUCGCCUGUGACGAAGCGUGAGUGACGGUAAUGGGUAAAGAAGCACCGGCUAACUACGU
rnacentral:rRNA from 1 species